rnacentral:rRNA from 1 species
AACGAACGCUGGCGGCAUGCCUAACACAUGCAAGUCGAACGAACCCUUCGGGGUUAGUGGCGCACGGGUGCGUAACGCGUGGGAAUCUGCCCUUUGCUUCGGAAUAACAGUUAGAAAUGACUGCUAAUACCGGAUGAUGUCUUCGGACCAAAGAUUUAUCGGCAAAGGAUGAGCCCGCGUAGGAUUAGGUAGUUGGUGGGGUAAAGGCCUACCAAGCCGACGAUCCUUAGCUGGUCUGAGAGGAUGAUCAGCCACACUGGGACUGAGACACGGCCCAGACUCCUACGGGAGGCAGCAGUGGGGAAUAUUGGACAAUGGACGCAAGUCUGAUCCAGCAAUGCCGCGUGAGUGAUGAAGGCCUUGGGUUGUAAAGCUCUUUUACCAGGGAUGAUAAUGACAGUACCUGGAGAAUAAGCUCCGGCUAACUCCGUGCCAGCAGCCGCCGUAAAAC